CCUACGGGCGGCAGCAGUGGGGAAUAUUGGACAAUAGGCGAAAGCCUGAUCCAGCCAUGCCGCGUGUGUGAAGAAGGCCUUCGGGUUGUAAAGCACUUUCAGUGGGGAAGAAAGCCUUGGGGCUAAUACCCUCGAGGAAGGACAUCACCCACAGAAGAAGCACCGGCUAACUCCGUGCCAGCAGCCGCGGUAAUACGGAGGGUGCGAGCGUUAAUCGGAAUUACUGGGCGUAAAGCGCGCGUAGGCGGUCUGAUAAGCCGGUUGUGAAAGCCCCGGGCUCAACCUGGGAACGGCAUCCGGAACUGUCAGGCUAGAGUGCAGGAGAGGAAGGUAGAAUUCCCGGUGUAGCGGUGAAAUGCGUAGAGAUCGGGAGGAAUACCAGUGGCGAAGGCGGCCUUCUGGACUGACACUGACGCUGAGGUGCGAAAGCGUGGGUAGCAAACAGGAUUAGAUACCCCAGUAGUC
rnacentral:rRNA from 1 species